rfam:Laccaria amethystina LaAM-08-1 unplaced genomic scaffold K443scaffold_369, whole genome shotgun sequence.
GGCAAUAUGGCCGAGCGGUCUAAGGCGCCAGAAUCAGGAUCUGGUCCGAAAGGGCGAGGGUUCGAAUCCCUCUGUUGUCA